ACAGCAACAUGGAGCAAAUGGGUCAGUGCGUCUGGCUGUUAACUGGAAGGUUGGUGGUUCAAGCCCACCCAUGGAUGGCUGUA